rnacentral:lncRNA from 1 species
CCUAUGAAAGCAAACUUCUGCUGCAUUAUGCCACUGCUCUGUGGACCUGUCACAGCAGCCGCAGGACACUGACAGGAGCCCCUUCCCCGAGCCAGGUCCUGGGGAUGAUGAGGUGCAGUUGGGAAGACCGCAGCCUUGUGUGCUCCUGCAGCUCAGACACUCUGCCUUGGAAAGCCCUCCUCUGGGCUUCUGGAAGCAGCCAAAACUGGCCACUGAGGUGGGAGCCCUGGGGAGGCUGGCCCGGCCCCAUGCACAGAACUGGCCGUCUCUUGGAGAACCUUCCGCUAAGGAGCUGGGCAUGAGGAUGUCCUCUCGCCAAACCAAAGGGCCCUCGAUGUCAGUGAGCAGGUCAUUCCAACUCCAUGCUGUAGCCCUCUCCAGAGAGCGAUGAAUGCAAAGCUGAGCCCUGAGCCCAGCUCACAGUCACAACUCAGCCCAUAUUUGCUCAGCAGCCGUCUUUUCCUGGGUUACGUAACCCCCUCAAGGAACAGCCAUGUGUGCCCUGGCACCUCACACCUGGAGUCAUGGCCAAAUACUCGAGCGGUAAGUCACUGGGCUUUGUGUUUUCAACACACAUAGAAGCAGUUCUUGCAGAUCAAUCCUCACACUAUUUUAAAUGUUUCAUAAAGCUCCUGGAUGGUGUGUGUGUGUGUGUGUGUGGUGUUUAGUGAGCCACUGAGCAGGAGGCUUCAGUUUGGGUUCCCAGGAGGCCCCUUGGGUCUUGCUGCCUAUUCUCUGGAGCACAUGUGAGAGAGGGGGACAUGGCCACUCUGGACAUGGCCAGGACCUCAAGGACAAACUCACACUGGGAGAACUCUAAGCAGACCCCUUUUCACCUUCUGUUUUAUUUACAGCGGGCCGUUCCCUAAGUGGAGGAAACAGAGGAUUAGACCAUUUUCUAGAAGACUGCAUAGAUUCUCAAGUCGGGUCAGAUGAACCAUGUGCCAACAGCAGAGAGAACCUGAUUAAAGUAAUAAGCAUUUCAAGAGUUUCCUACAAGAGGGGAGAGGGGCUGAGGCAGGAGGAC